rnacentral:rRNA from 1 species
GUAGCGAAAUUCCUUGUCGGGUAAGUUCCGACCCGCACGAAAGGUGCAACGAUUUGGGCACUGUCUCAACGAGAGACCCGGUGAAAUUAUAUUACCUGUGAAGAUGCAGGUUACCCGCGACAGGACGGAAAGACCCGAUGGAGCUUUACUGUAGCUUGAUAUUGGAUUUUGGUACAGCUUGUACAGGAUAGGUAGGAGCCUUGGAAGCCGGAGCGCCAGCUUCGGUGGAGGCAUUGGUGGGAUACUACCCUGGCUGUACUGGAAUUCUAACCUCGAACCGUGAUCCGGUUCAGGGACAGUGUCAGGUGGGCAGUUUGACUGGGGCGGUCGCCUCCUAAAAGGUAACGGAGGCGCCCAAAGGUUCCCUCAGAAUGGUUGGAAAUCAUUCGUAGAGUGCAAAGGCAUAAGGGAGCUUGACUGCGAGACCUACAAGUCGAGCAGGGACGAAAGUCGGGCUUAGUGAUCCGGCGGCACCGUAUGGAAGGGCCGUCGCUCAACGGAUAAAAGCUACCCUGGGGAUAACAGGCUAAUCUCCCCCAAGAGUCCACAUCGACGGGGAGGUUUGGCACCUCGAUGUCGGCUCGUCGCAUCCUGGGGCUGAAGUAGGUCCCAAGGGUUGGGCUGUUCGCCCAUUAAAGCGGCACGCGAGCUGGGUCCAG